GGAUAUUCUCAGCUUCUACAUCCACUCUUGCGUUCUGAGCCGACGCCAGAGCCAUCUCCUCACCCUCCAUCACUUCAUCAUCUGUUCCUUGCACGCGAUUAUAGUUGUAUCUCCAUGGUGUUAGGUUUUUGUCACCAUCUCUCAGAUCGGCAUGGUCGAACUGCAUGUUAUUAUCUCGGCCUCUUCCAAAACCACGGCCAGGCCCUCGCCCUCGACCGUCAUGAUGCUCUUCUCCAUCUUUCCGUCUUUCAGUAGGGCCACGACCC
rnacentral:lncRNA from 1 species